rnacentral:misc_RNA from 1 species
GAUGAAGAACGCAGCGAAAUGCGAUACGUAAUGUGAAUCGCAGAAUUCAGUGAAUCAUCGAAUCUUUGAACGCAUAUUGCGCUCUCUGGUAUUCCGGAGAGCAUGCUUGUUUGAGUAUCAGUAAACACCUCAACUCCCCUUUCUUUUUUGAAAUGGGAGCUGGACUUGAGUGAUCCCAACGCUUUUCUCACCGAAAAGUGGCGGGUUACUUGAAAUGCAGGUGCAGCUGGACUUUUCUCUGAGCUAAAAGCAUAUCUAUUUAGUCUGCCUAAAAACAGAUUAUUACCUUUGCUGCAGCUAACAUAAAGGAGAUUAGUUCUUGUGCUGACUGAUGCAGGAUUCACAGAGACAGCUUCGGCUGGCCUUUGUAAACUCGAUCUCAAAUCAAGUAAGACUACCCGCUGAACUUAAGCAUAUCAAUAAGCGGAGGA